rnacentral:rRNA from 1 species
GAUGAACGCUGGCGGCGUGCCUAAUACAUGCAAGUCGAGCGAACGGACGAGAAGCUUGCUUCUCUGAUGUUAGCGGCGGACGGGUGAGUAACACGUGGAUAACCUACCUAUAAGACUGGGCUAACUUCGGGAAACCGGAGCUAAUACCGGAUGAUAUUUUGAACCUCAUGGUUCAAAAGUGAAAGACGGUCUUGCUGUUACUUAUAGAUGGAUCCGCGCUGCAUUAGCUAGUUGGUAAGGUAACGGCUUACCAAGGCAACGAUGCAUAGCCGACCUGAGAGGGUGAUCGGCCACACUGGAACUGAGACACGGUCCAGACUACUACGGGAGGCAGCAGUAGGGAAUCUUCCGCAAUGGGCGAAAGCCUGACGGAGCAACGCAGCGUGAGUGAUGAAGGUCUUCGGAUCGUAAAAAUCUGUUAUUAGGGAAGAACAUAUGUGUAAGUAACUGUACACAUCUUGACGGUACCUAAUCAGAAAGCCACGGCUAACUACGUG